AUCUGUUAUUAUUUUUCUAUACAUUGCUAUCUUUCUUAAGUUACUUAUUAUAUACAGGCUAUACAGAGACGUGUCUACGGUCCUGUGCGAUUUAACAGAACAUGGAGUGAGUACAAGGCAGGGUUUGGAUCGGCAGAAACGGAAUACUGGCUAGGAAAUGACCUCAUUCACAAACUAACAGUGGAAAUUAAAACUGCAUUGUAUGUUGCCAUAACAUUGACUAAUGGAACAACCCUUUAUGAACGAUAUGACCAGUUCUACAUCACUAAUGACACUGAUGGCUACAGACUUAACCUGAAGGGAAACGCUACAGGGAGUCUUGGAAAUAGUAUGACGCCCCCUAAUAGAUCCUGGAAUCUCAAUGGAAUAAAAUUCUCCACAGCUGAUAGGGACAACGAUAUGUGGUCAGGAGGACCAUGUGGAACUCGGGAAGGAGGCUGGUGGUUCAAUCAUUGCUCACUAACAUUUUUGAACUCCGACUACUGGUAUCCACCGUGGGCGCCAACGGUGCCUAGUAGAUCAGAUGUCCGUGAAACUAUGAUGAUGAU